AUUUUUUCGCAACGAACGCAUGGAAUCUUGCUAACUAUACACUAGAACAUGUUUGGGAGUGUUUCUGAGCAUUCGGUUCCGGUACGAAAAAUGAUGCAAAACGGGUGCAUUUCGGCACCCGAAUGCACUAUUGCCGGGUAGCGAAACUCGGGUGGAUUUUUUCGCAACGAACGCAUGCAAUCUUCCUAAAGAUACACUAGAACAUGUUUGGGAGUGUUUUUUGGCAGUCGG
rnacentral:lncRNA from 1 species